rnacentral:misc_RNA from 1 species
UUUUCGUCUGUGUGAGGGUCGGCUAGUGUCAAAACAAUCGCGUCGCUUGCUCUUGCGACGCGCUCUGGACCUUCGCGGCCGUAAAAUCCGGCGCUCACCGAAUCGCUCGCUCGGCGGUUUGCGUGUUGCGCCCGGUGGCCCCGUGGUYUUAAGCACAAGCCGCGCCGUUGUCCGUGUUCGUCUCGGGACGUCCGCGACGCCGCCUUGCUCUCGGCGGCGGCCAAAUUUCCUCUCCGUCACCGCUAUGCGGGACCCGGCUCGCUCUCGCUAACGGGCCCGCUUAUAACCAGCUUCAGGGUGACGGGCGGAGGAGAGAAGCUUACGCUGACGCUCGAUCGACGAGUCGGCGCCCGUACGAAAAAAAUUGGAAAAAAAAUAACCGUGCGUUGCGCGUUAUUUUUUUUUUUCCUUUCUUUCCGACCUCAGAUCGGACGAGAUUACCCCCUGAAUUUAAGCAUAGAAA